rnacentral:rRNA from 2 species
UACGGGGGGGGCAAGCGUUGUUCGGAAUUACUGGGCGUAAAGGGCGCGUAGGCGGCUCUUCAAGUCAGCCGUGAAAUCUCCAGGCUUAACCUGGAAGGGUCGGUUGAUACUGUCGAGCUAGAGUGUAGAAGAGGCAACUGGAAUUCCGUGUGUAGCGGUGAAAUGCGUAGAUAUACGGAGGAACACCUGCGGCGAAGGCGGGUUGCUGGGCUAACACUGACGCUGAGGCGCGAAAGCUAGGGUAGCAAACGGG